rnacentral:rRNA from 1 species
AUUGAACGCUGGCGGCAGGCCUAACACAUGCAAGUCGAACGAGUGGCGGACGGGUGAGUAAUGUCUGGGAAACUGCCUGAUGGAGGGGGAUAACUACUGGAAACGGUAGCUAAUACCGCAUACCAUCCGAUGUGCCCAGAUGGGCUUAGCUAGUUGGUGGGGUAACGGCUCACCAAGGCGACGAUCCCUAGCUGGUCUGAGAGGAUGACCAGCCACAACGGAAAUGAGAAACGGGCCAGACUCCCACGGGAAGCAGGCGGGGGGAAAAUUGCCACAUGGGGGCCAGCCCGAAGGCGCCCUGGCGGGUGUAUGAAGAAGGCUUCGGGGUUGAAAAUUCCUUCAGCGGGGAGGCGUUACCCGCAGAAGAAGCACCGGCUAACUCCGUGCCAGCAGCCGCGGUAAUAC